AACUGCAUGGAGGGAUUUGGGGGAUUUCAUUGGAGUUGGGAGGUUGGAGAGGAUUUAGGGGUUUUGUCGGGAUUUGGGGGUUUUGUUGGAGUUAGGAGGUGAGAGAGGGUUUAGGGGGUUUCGUUGGGAUUAAGUUUUGGGGUUCUCAAAUGCAUAGAGGGAUUUGGGAGUUUCAUUGGAAUUGGGAGGUUGGAAAGAUUUAGAGGCUUUAUUGGGAUUUGGGGUUCUCAACUGCACAGGGGAUUCAGGGGUUUUGUUAGAGCUGGGGGCUUGGGGAGGACUUUGGGGUUUCAUUGAGGUGAAGAUGUGUGGAAAUUUGGGGAGGGGAUUUGGGAUUCUUAACUACAUGGGGGUUUACAUUCGAUUUAGGAGUGGAUUUGGGAUUUCCAAUGGGAUGGGGACUUGAAGGGUGGUGGGAUUCCUGCCUGCGUGGAGGGAGUUUGGAGUAUUCAUCAGGAUGAAGACUUUGGAAAGAUUUGGGGUUUUGUCAGUGUGGGCAUUUGAGGGGGGAUUUGUUGUCAUUCCCAUCUAUGGGGGGGUGGUUGGGGUUUUGGUUGGAUUUGGGAUGUUGGGGAGGAUUUGGGGUUUUAUUGGAAUGAGAGGCGUGAGGAUGAUUUGGUAUUUCAACAUACAUAGGAGUGAUUUGGGGGGUUUCACUGGAGUAUUUGGGGGUUUUUGUCAUGGUGAAGACUUGUGAGGGAUUGGGAGUUUUAAUCUGGAUAGGGUUUUGUAAACUGAUUUUGGAUUCCCACCCACAUGACCAAGGAUUUGGGAUUUUUGUCUGGAUGCAGACUUGGGGAUCUCAUUGGGAUUCCCACCUGCACAGCAAAAAUGUGUGAGUUUUAUCAGGAUGGGCAUUUGGAGGUGGAUUUGGGAUUUUCAUCUGGAUGGGGGUUUGGGGUUUGAUUUCAGAUUCACAUCCAGGUGUAGGUUACUUGGGGAUUUCAAUCUAGAUUGGGUUAGUUCUGGGAUUCUCAGCAGGGCUGGGGGUUUAUUCGGCAUUUUCAUCAGAAGGUGGGAUUAAUUUGGGAUCACCUUCUGCAUAUACACCACAUAUACACACACACUGACCCCUCCUCUUCCCCCCAGAGAAUGUACAUUUUCCCAGGAUGUUUUCUGGGAAAGAUUAGCUCCUGUUUGAGAAUGUCUCACAGUCAGCCACGUGUCCAAAGUACGAAGGACAAAACUAUGAUCAAAUCUCAGCAUUGUUUUGUGUUGAGGCACCAAAAGUUGUAGUGUUCAGGCAAGGAGCGCUCGCUGCAGCUGGAAGGAGACUGAAAAUAAGGUCAGACCUUUGCACUGGAUCCUCCUCCUGGCUCUGCUGGAUCCAGGAACCUUCCCAGCCUGGACCCAGAGGUGGUGAAGGUCACCUUCAGAAGAUGAGGAGAUGCUUGGGUUUGCUGGCGCAGCUCUCCCUGCUUCACAUGUUGUCCCCAGAAAAGGCUUCUUGUCCUGAUUUACUUCUGGGCCACUGCAGAGAGACUUUCCAGGUGCCUCAGCCCAGACUCAGCUCCUCUUGCUACCACUCUGCACUACACAGCACCCAAAAGCUGUGAAACUCGAGUUGCAAUAAAUGAAUGAAUGUGUUGGUGCACGUUGUUAAUCCUGCCAGUAUAAGAGAGGCACUUCCUUCUCUCCCUGAGGAGUAUUUUUAAUACCAGAUCCCAUUCAUACACACAGUCUCUCCGAAUUUUUGUUGUUAACUGCCAAGCCAAGACAGCCCAGGGAAAAACCUGAGCUGCUUCAGUACAGGUUGGGAUGGACAGGAGGGAGGUGAUGCUGAGCUCCUCAAAUUCUCUCUUUAUGGCACCAGUGCUCCUAAAACACUGCAAAAAUAUCCCGUGGCUCAUUGCUCAGGGGUAGCAGUGCCUGGGAGAUGGGGGAUUCCCCAAGGUGUGCUGGGUGUCCUCUCAAAGUGAGGGCUGUGGGAAUAACAGAUAAGAACAGAGCUGCCUUGGCAGCAACCUAAGGAAAACAGAAUGGCCUGAAAUCCACUUAGAAAUCAGGCUGGAUUUGGUUUUGUUGUUUGUAAUGAGAGUUAGGAGAAGAAUUCUGCCUGGUUGGUCCCAUCAGCAGAUCUGGGCUGUGCUGGUCCUUUGGCCUUGGGCAAGGAGGAGGAAGGAGCCUCACCCCUGAGCAUCUAAAUCCUUCUAGAUUGCUGAUUUGGGACGUAGGUUUUCUCUUAAUUAUCACAAAAGGCACCCUGGCACUUACACAGGCAGUUUUGUGAGUUCUCAAGAGGCUUGUUGGACGCAAUGCUCUUUUGUCUCCUCAAGCCUCAGCUGCUGGCAAUCGCCACUGCGGCUGAAACAACGGCAUGGCCUCCGCUUCUUGGAAAAACAGAUUCUUCCAGAAACAUGGAGUUAAGCCUCCUUUUCCAGGAGGGCAGCAGGAAGGUCUCCCAUUAUUCCUGCUGCUUUGCAGGGUACAGGUGCCUUCCCACCUGCGCCAGCUCUGAAUCUGCCUCUGCUGCAAAGGGGAUAAUUACUGAGGGUGUCAGAUCAAGGCUGUGAAUCAUGAGCAGCUGAGGGAAAAAUAAAGGGAUAUUUAGCAAGACUGCUUCAAAAGCUGGGUGUCUGAUAAAGUACAUCCCAACCAUCAGCUGGGGGAAAGGCCAGGAAAAGAACCCUAAUUUGGGAAACUGGGCACUUUCUGGGGGUGUCAAAAAGGCAUCGGUGUUUCCCAGAAAGAUGGAAACAGUCUUUGACACCCCAAGACAUGCAGCAUUGCUAACUGGGAGCUUUAUCACGAGUAUCCCAGCUCUGGAGGUUUUCCUAAAUACCAAAAUCACUGGGCCAGGAAAUUAUGUAGAGGCUUUUGCUUUCAACUCCAAACAUGAAUGCCUUAGAGGUGUAGGGAAACCCUUUGGAGAAUGGCCUGCACAUCUCUCUGAGAAGUGGGAGUCAAAAAUAAGAAUUCACUUUAAAAUUUAUUAUUGACAUUAUGAUUAUUUAAAAUCUCAUGGGCUUAAGUCAGUCAAGUGUGUUUUUCAAUCCUGACAUUAAUACGGUUGCACACAGGUUCACAUGUACCUGGGUCUGUGUGUUCCAGCCAAAUAUUUACGUAAGGCUGUGAAAGAGCAGCACAGGGAGUCAUUGGUUUCAAGGUAUGCAAGUCAGCUGGGCUGAAACCCUCUCAGGAGGAGGAAGACUCCACAUGACACAAGAUUUCCUUGUUGGAGAAAUCCCAAGAUGUUUUUGUGAUUCCCCAAAGGCUACAGACACCCCAUUUCUCUGCAAUUUAAUGCAAACUGGACAAAGGAGAAGAAAACAUAAAGUAGGAGUUGCUCUUGUGCUUCACAAUGCUGGGAUAAAUUCCCCAAGACAGUUUUAUCUUCUCUGCACCUUGUAAUUCCUUCUCGGCUGCGUUCAGAUUUGUCACAACAUUUGACUGACAUCUCCAGGGAGCCUUGCAAUAUUUACCUCUUCUCACAGAAAAUGACCGAGGGAAGCCUGUGCAGCUCAAAAAUCCUCGGGCUGAGAUCCAGCUUAGGAUCAUUUAACUUGCCAGUAAUCCGAUUUUAUUGAAUGUCGUCACCUAUCUCCUUGUGCAACUGGGCACCAAGUAAUAAUGUUUGGAAUUCAGAUCUGGGGCUACGAUGGGGAAGAUGAAGGGCUGAUACCUCUGACGUGAGUAACAGUGUGAGCAGCAGCCUGUGGGCUCCUGGGUUGAGGAUCCUUAGAGGCUAUUCCAGGAAGGAAAGCAAAAAAACCCAAACCCAAACUACCCUCCUUUCAUCAAGAGACAAAAAUACCAGAGGUCUGAUGUUUGUAUUUAUGUUUCAGAAGCUGGGGAGUCAGAAAUGUCACAUGGGAAUCUGCUCCUUAGCCUGGACCUGAACCAGAAGAAGGAAACAAAAUGCAGCUUUUAGCCUCAGGAGCAGGAAUCGUCUUGAGAAAGCCAAGAACAGCCUGGGAUACUGCUCACAAUGCCUGCUGUCUGUUCCCGAACUUCUGCGAAUGGAGAGGCAAAAAUCCCAUUGGUAUCAGACAAAGACUUACAAAAUCCAGGUUCAGCCCUCAGUUCUGAAAUAAUCUCCUGUCUCAGCUGUGAUCCUAUUUUGAAGAACUUCUGUUCUUCCAGUUUUCUCUGCACUUGACCACUCAGACAGGUGUAAUUUCUGAUUCUCUUGAGUUUAACUUUUUAAGAGAAAAAGCAAGGAACCUCAUUUUCAGCAAGCUGCCAACCUUCCUGCAGUGCCUAUGCAGCACCUCUCUAGGGAGCCUGUUGCAGUGUUUGACCACCCUCUGGGUAAAGAAAUGCUUCCUCAUGUCCAGUCUGAACCUCUCCUGAGACAGUUUUGAGCCAUUCCCACAUGUUCUGUCACUGGAUAUCAGGGAGUAGAGCUCAGCACCUCCCUCCCCACUUCCCCUCCUCAGGAAGGGGUAGAGACCAAUACAGAUAACCCUUUUUCCAAGACCACAGUGAGUGGCCACUGCUGCUCCAAAAUCCCUUGUGUUCAUCCUCCCCACAAACUCCUGCAGAGGUCUGUGGGAUGUGAAGGACCAGUAGGAAACCUCUAAAAGAAAUUUGGGAGGGAUUGCUCCAUUUUACUGGACAAGAGACCAGAAAUACUUCCUUCAACAUGGGGAGAGGAAACUCCUUGAAAUCCCAAUCUGGAUUUUUCAGUGAGAAUUACCCACGAUGAUCCUUGGGUGCAGCACACCUCUCCAACCUAAAUAUCUUCUGCCACUUGGGCCCACACUGCUCUCCCAACACCAACUCCACAUCUCUUUGGAGUGGCUUUGCCACCACGUCUUCCCUCUGACAAGGACCUGCCCCCAAAAAAGCCUCGAAGUUACCAGGGCAACCUGAAAAAGUCCAGCAGCUCUGGAGCAUUGUUUGGGGCUGCAGCAGCCCUGAGGAAUUCACUAUUUAUUUUAGAGAUAAAAGCUGCAACUUCCACACAUUCUUCUUCAAUUUCACUCUCCAUUAAGUGCAUUGCCCUGUCAUAACAAAGCUCGUUGAAUUAUUAGAGAUGAGGGGAAUUGUUCGGAGCCUGGAGUGGGGAAAGGGAUGGGAGGGAGCUUGUGGAUUGUCUUUGUGGAGCCCCUCCAUGGAGCAUUUAGGAUGUGGUUGGGGCUUUCUGAGGGUGCCUGGGGGACAGUGAGGGCAGGGAGUGAGGGCCAGAGGCUUGGGUUGGGUCAGGUAGCCUUGGGCAAAUCCCUGUUUGUUUGUCUCCCUGUCCCUGUCCUGGACUGUGUUUCAGUUGGUGUCCUCCUGCUUUCCCUUGUGCUUUUUUAGACAUGGAUAAAAAAUAAAGAGGAAAGAAGGGGUCAAAUUAAAGCCUCAUGUCCCAGAGAAGUGGUUGACCCCUCCAGUUCCUCCAGCACUAUCAAAAAUCUCAUUUCCUCUUCCCCACUCCAAUGUCCACAGUGGGGCUGGUUCUCCCAGUGCCCUUGUGAGCAGUUUCCCUUAUGCCUGGUGCGAACUAUAGGUUGCUGAGACGUGAAUCACCUCAGAUGGCUUCCUUCCACCCCCAAAACUCCUCCCUGGGAUAUCAGCACGGCAGAGUUGGUGUGAAUCCCGUGUCAGCCCAGCACCUCCCAUCCUUAUGCUGGUGUUUGUUCGUGGUGGAUUAAGGUGAGAAAUGGGCUUUUGGGCAGGGGAAUUCACUUGUACAGUGGGAACCCAGGCUAGGACAGGUGAGUUAUUUCUCGAAAUCAGAUGAGGUGAACCCCACUCCUAAGUCUCAUUUCUAAUGUUCACACUGGUUUAGUUUUUAACCUGUAUUUUUCCCUUCCAGUUCCUCAGUUUCCCAACACGAGCUCCAAGUUACAUCCUGCAUCUCAACAAGAUUAACAAGAUCGUCACGGGCUGGGUCUGUGAAAGGUUUUGACAUUUACAGAAAGAACAUGCAGUGGAAAUAAUAAAUGUUGUUAUUUUCAC